UACGGAGGGUGCAAGCGUUAUCCGGAUUCACUGGGUUUAAAGGGUGCGUAGGAGGGCAGGUAAGUCAGUGGUGAAAUCUCCAAGCUUAACUUGGAAACUGCCGUUGAUACUAUCUGUCUUGAAUAUUGUGGAGGUGAGCGGAAUAUGUCAUGUAGCGGUGAAAUGCUUAGAUAUGACAUAGAACACCAAUUGCGAAGGCAGCUGGCUACACGAAUAUUGACACUGAUGCACGAAAGCGUGGGGAUCAAACAGG
rnacentral:rRNA from 1 species